AUUGAACGCUGGCGGCAGGCUUAACACAUGCAAGUCGAGCGAGCGGCGGACGGGUGAGUAAUGUCUGGGAAACUGACUGAUGGAGGGGGAUAAAUACCGGAAACGGUAGCUAAUACCGCAUACCAUCAGAUGUGCCCAGAUGGGAUUGGCUAGUGGGUGGGGUAAUGGCUAACCGAGGCGACGAUCCGUAGCUGGUCUGAGAGGAUGACCGGCCACACUGGAACUGAGACACGGUCCAGACUCCUACGGAAGGCAGCAGUGGGGAAUAUUGCACAAUGGGGGCAAGCCGGAUGCAGCCAUGCCGCGUGUGUGAAGAAGGCCUUCGGGUUGUAAAGCACUUUCAGCGAGGAGGCGUUACUCGCAGAAGAAGCACCGGCUAACUCCGUGCCAGCAGCCGCGGUAAUUC
rnacentral:rRNA from 1 species